rnacentral:rRNA from 1 species
GCAUUUGGGGGAUGUAUAGCGAAAGCUAGUUGUAUUUUAACUAAUACAAUAUCGACUAUGUCGAAUAAAGUUCUAGGUAGAAUACUGAUAAUGACAAUUUUCUAUCUAUAUGUCUUGACCAAAUCACGUGCCAGCAGUCGCGGUAAUACGUGGAAGACUAGUGUUAUUCAUCUUUAAUAGGUUUAAAGGGUACCUAGACGGUAUUUCUAGCCCGAAGAGGGUACAGAUUUACUAGAGUUUUAUGUAAGAAGACAAAAUAAGAUACAUCGGUGGAAGAACAUUAAUAUAUAUAUAUUAAUAUCAUUGGUGUUUCUAUUGUAGAACUCAAGGUGGAGAGAUGAAAUUUUUUAAUACUUUGAGAAAACUGGUAUUGCGAAAGCAACCUUCUAUGUAUAAACUGACGUUGAGGGACGAAGGCCUGGGUAGCAAAUAGGAUUAGAUACCCUAGUAGUCCAGGCAGAAAAUUAUGAAUGCCAUAGAUCAGAUUUAUUUGGUUUAUAAAUGAAAGUGUAAGCAUUCCACCUCAAGAGUAAUGCGGCAACGCAGGAACUGAAAUCAUUAGACCGUUUCUGAAACCAGUAGUGAAGUAUGUUAUUUAAUUCGAUAAUCCGCGAAAAACCUUACCACAAUUUGAAUUUUUUAGUUUUGACAAGCGCUGCACGGCUGUCUUCAGUUAAUGUCGUGAGAUUUUGGUUAGCUCCAUUAAAUUAACGUAAACCCUUGCUUUAUUUACUUUUUUUUAUAAAGUAGUCCACUGUUAUACAUGGUGUGAUAAAAGGGAAUAAGACAAGUCAUC